rnacentral:rRNA from 1 species
GAUAGCCCGGCGAAAGCCGGAUUAAUACCGCAUACGAUCCAUGGAUGAAAGCGGGGGACCUUCGGGCCUCGCGCUAUUGGGGUGGCCGAUGGCAGAUUAGGUAGUUGGUGGGGUAAAGGCCUACCAAGCCGACGAUCUGUAGCUGGUCUGAGAGGACGACCAGCCACACUGGGACUGAGACACGGCCCAGACUCCUACGGGAGGCAGCAGUGGGGAAUUUUGGACAAUGGGCGAAAGCCUGAUCCAGCAAUGCCGCGUGUGUGAAGAAGGCCUUCGGGUUGUAAAGCACUUUUGUCCGGAAAGAAAUCCUUUGGGCUAAUACCCCGGGGGGAUGACGGUACCGGAAGAAUAAGCACCGGCUAACUACGUGCCAGCAGCCGCGGUAAUACGUAGGGUGCGAGCGUUAAUCGGAAUUACUGGGCGUAAAGCGUGCGCAGGCGGUGAUGUAAGACCGAUGUGAAAUCCCCGGGCUUAACCUGGGAACUGCAUUGGUGACUGCAUCGCUGGAGUAUGGCAGAGGGGGGUGGAAUUCCACGUGUAGCAGUGAAAUGCGUAGAGAUGUGGAGGAACACCGAUGGCGAAGCAGCCCCCUGGGCCAAUACUGACGCUC